rnacentral:rRNA from 1 species
AGAGUUUGAUCCUGGCUCAGGAUGAACGCUGGCCGCGUGCCCUAACACAUGCUAGUCGAACGGGACUGGUAGAUAACAGAUGGCCGUUGGCUGAUAGCCUGCUUUCAGCCAUAAAGCUUGUCAACCAUCAACCGGUUAGUGGCGAACGGGUGAGUAACACGUAGGUGACCUGCCCCGAAGAGGGGGAUAACGUUGGAAACGGCGGCUAAUACCCCAUGUAAUCAUGGAGGGUUAGAGGCUUCAUGAUUAAAGCUCCGGCGCUUCGGGAGGGGCCUGCGGCCUAUCAGCUAGUUGGUGGGGUAAUGGCCCACCAAGGCAAUGACGGGUAGCUGGUCUGAGAGGACGAUCAGCCACAUGGGCACUGAGACACGGGCCCGACUCCUACGGGAGGCAGCAGUGAGGGAUAUUGCGCAAUGGGCGAAAGCCUGACGCAGCAACGCCGCGUGAGCGAUGAAGGCCUUAGGGUUGUAAAGCUCUUUUCUGGGGGAAGAGGAAGGACGGUACCCCAGGAAUAAGUACCGGCUAACUACGUGCCAGCAGCCGCGGUAAUACAGAGGUGGCAAGCGUUGUUCGGAUUUACUGGGCUUAAAGCGCGCGUAGGCGUCCUGAUAAGUCAGAUGUGGAAGCCUUGGGCUUAACCCAAGAAUUGCAUUUGAAACUGUCAGGAUUGAGUCAUGCAUAGGAGGGCGGAAUUCCUGGUGUAGCGGUGAAAUGCGUAGAUAUCAGGAGGAAGGCCGGAGGCGAAGGCGGCCCUCUGGGCAAUGACUGACGCUGAGGUGCGAAAGCGUGGGUAGCAAACAGGAUUAGAUACCCUGGUAGUCCACGCCCUAAACGGUGGGUACUAGGUGUGGGUGGCGAUAGUCAUCCGUGCCGAAGGGAAACCAUUAAGUACCCCGCCUGGGGAGUACGGUCGCAAGAUUAAAACUCAAAGGAAUUGACGGGGGCCCGCACAAGCGGU